UUUCAUGGAGCGUCUGUAUGGAAAAAUGAAAUACAAGCGAGAGUGGAAAGAACAAUAGGGAAAAGACGGGCAGAGGUAGGACCCCAGCAAGCCUACACUCAUAACUCUCUCCUUGACUCCCAACGCAGUGCCUGCCACCAGACAAGCUCAGAGCCCUGCUGAGGACAAGCACGAUCAACAGGCCACAGAGGAAGACAAUGCAGCCACUCCCAAUGAGACCUGAUAGACUAGGAUCAGAAGGAAGGAGAGGAAGACCUCCCCUAUCAAUGGACUUGGGUAGGAGCAUGCGUGGAGGAGGGAGAGGAAAGAAAAUUGCUCACUUAUAGAUAGAUGACUGGUUUCCAAUAGACUUCUCUGCUUUGAGUAUUCCCAGGGAUUUGGAGAAGCACUGGAAAGCAUCUCCCUGCUGAGCAGCAGACCUCCUACCGUCGACACAGACAUCAAUCUGAAAGACAAGUAGACGGAAUGCCAAGUGUUACCUGAAGGUGGCUAGGGAAUCCAUCCUGGGAUGCUAGUGAGGGAUUGGUCCGAGGCUCUUCAGGAGAAAUCCUGGAAAGACUGCUCUGAAGAAGGUAGAACGUCUGACGAAAGUGACGAAAACCCUGACUAAACAGCCCGACCACAACAAUCUGCCCAGGACUCCAAAACAAGGAUGGUACCACCUACUCUCAGGCUAUGCUAUCGCAAGACAAUCUCCCACAGAUAUGCCCACUGGCCAACCUGAUCUACAUAAUCCCUCACUGAAACUCUCUUCUCAGGCGAUUCCAAAUUGAAAAACUUACCACCAUACCAGGCUAACCUCAAAUCACUCUAUGGCCAAAGUUAGCUGUGAAAUCCCCAAUCUUUUCUCUAGUGCCUGGUUUAUUGUGAAGGGCUGGUAACUGAACACAGGGCUUCAUCCAUGGAAGGCAAACAUUGUACCAACUGAGGUACAUAGAUCUUUAGCCUGUGAUAAUAUUUGGAGUAGUAUGGACCUUCUACUCUGGUAGCCUGUAGCCAUAUGUGUCUACUUAACGCUUGAAUAUGGCUUAAUCUAAAUUGUCAUAAAUGUUAAAUACAUCAAAUACAUAAUUAGGACUUCAAAAGUGUUGAAUUAAGGCAAUAUGUAUGUGUGAGACACAGAUACAUCUCAAAUGUUUUACACGGAUUACCCAUUCAGACGCAGAUGCUAGGUUAAUAUGUACAAAAAUGAAUGUAUCAAACUAAAUAUUUCAUGCUCCUUUUUUUUCUAUCCUGGCCACCAAAACCUAAAAAAAAUCUUAUAAGUGUUAACAUACUUAUCUUGGGCCAAAAUGAUUUAAAAGCAUGAAAUAAGAUAAAAUAAAAUUAAUAAUAUAAACAUAAAAUGAAAUAAUACAAUGAAAGCUUCCAUUUUAUUUUUCCCCUAUCUCAGCCCCAGUCAUUCUUCUGAGAAUUAAAUUUUCCUGGACACUCGAAAAUACAGAUGAAUAUUUGUAAUAUUUGUAUACAUAUGAAAUAACUUGGCUUUCACAUAUAAAGAGACUGGAUUGGAAUCUUAUCAUAAACAUGACCCUUUUAAAGCUUUUAGUUUUACUUUAAUAAAUAUGCGAUGUCUACAGCAUGCUUUCUGGUAUCUGCAUAGAAUCUCCUUAGAACUCUUUGUGUAGGCACAGACCUCCUCCUCCUCCCUGUCUGUUCCCCCAGACCCAAUCUUUCAGUCCCACCACUAGUGCUGCAACACAAAACCAGCUGCAGCCUCUCUUCCCCUCUCCCCACAUCUUGUGCAACCCAUAGGCCAUCCCCUUUUAACCCUCUUCUCCCCUCUCCUUGGUGUAUCCCAGUCCCCAACUCCAACAGGCACCCUCUAAUAACUCACAGUCUUCUGCUAGAAAACAAGGUAGGCUGCCUUUAGACUUUCUUAGCUCUCUCUGUUCCCCCAGACCUAAUCCCCAAGUCUCAUCCCCAGCUCUGCAGCAGAAUUCCCAUGGCAGCAUUCCCUCUCUCCACCCCCCAUCUCUGGUGAAUGCCACCAGAUAUCUCCUUCUAACCUUCCUCGCCCCCCUUGUUGCUUUGUCCCAGACUCCAACCCUGCAGGCACCCCAUGCUAACUUAAGGGCCACUCCUCCAAGAGUAACACUUUCCUUGAAGCCAGAUCUGCACCUCUCCUACUGCUCUUGAGAUGAAAGCCUUCAGUCUCAUUCCCAGCUCGGUAGCAGAAAACCUGCUGUGGUCUCUCUUUCAUUCCUGACUCCAUCCCCAAUGGAUAACAAAGACUUUCUUCUCCAACCUUCUUUUCCCCAACACUUCCCAGUAUCCUAGCCUCCAGUUCUCAGCAGACAUUCCUUAAGAACACACCACCUGAACAGGUCAGUAAAACAAGCAGCACACCACCAUCACAUUCUCAGAAAAUCAAGAGAGAAAACAGAAACCAAGGAACAAAACACCCACCCAACAAAGACAAAUCCAAAAAUCAGCACCUAGACCUUUUAGUCAUUUCAAACUCAGAUGCUGAAACUUCAGUGUAAAAACACAAUAAAAAAACAGGGCAAUAUGGCUCCCCUAGAGCCCAGCAUUCCUACCACACCAGGCCCUGGAUAUUCCAAUAUAGAUGAAGGACAAGAAAAAGUCCUUAAAAUCAACUACAUAAAGAGGUUGUUAAAGAAGGCAUGAAGGAAUCUAUUAAAGAAAUUUAAAGAAGCACAUACAGUUGAAUGAAAUGAAUAAAACUUUUCAAGACCUGAAAAUAAGAAAAAAAAAAGCAGUAAAGAACAAACUGAGGGAAUUCUGGAAAUAUAAAAUUUAGAAAUUUGAACAGGAACCACAGAGGAAAGCUUCGCCAACAAAAUACAAGAGAUGGAAGAGAGAAUUGCAGGCACUGAAGAUAUGACAGAAAAAAUGGAUACUUCAGUCACUAUGAAAAGACCAAACCUAAAAAUAAUAGGUAUAGAGGAAGCAUAGGAAGGCCAGCUCAAAGGUCCAGAAAAAUUCUUCAAAAAUAUCAUAGAUGAAAAAUUUUUUAACCUAAAGAAGGAGAUUCCUAUAAGGGUAAAAGAAGCUUACAGUACACCAAAUAGAUUGGACCAGGAAAGAAUGUCCUCUCCCUUGCCGCAUGAUGAUCAAAACACUAAACAUAUAGAACAAUGAAAGAAUAUUAAAAGCUGCAAGGGAGACAAAACAAGUAACAUAUAAAUGCAGACCUAUUAGAAUUACACUUGACUUCUCAAUGGAUAAUCUAAAAACCAGAAGGGCCUGGACAGAUGUGCUGCAGACCCCAAGAGACCACAGACGCCAACCCAGACUACUAUUCCCAGCAAAAUUUUCAGUCAUCAUAUGUGGAGAAAAUAAGAUAUUCCAUGAUGAAGUCAAGUGUAAAUAAUAUCUGUCGACAAAUCCAACCCAAAAGAAGGUGCUAGAAGAAACACUCUACUCUAAGGUUAAUGCCAGACACGAAAACAUAGGGAAUUAAUACUCACACACAAGUAAAACCAAAAGAAGGGAAUUGAACACACAAAUACUAUCACACAUACACACACAACUCACACACACACACACACACACAUCACCAUCACCAACAGAAGGAACAGCAGCAGCAACAAUAAAAUUACAGGAAUCAACAGUUAUGGAUCAUUAAGAUCUCUCUACACCAAUGGACUCUAUUCCCCCAAUAAAAAGUUGUAGACUAACAGAAUGAAUGUGUGAACAGGAUUCAUGCCUCUGCUACAUCCAAGAAAUACACCUCCUCAACAUCAAGGAUAAACAUUACCUCAGGGUAGAAGGUUGGAAAAAGAUAUUCCAAGGAAAUGUGGUAUAGCCAUUUGAGUAUCCAAGAAAAUGUAGUUCAGACCAAAAUUAACCAAAAGAAAUAUGGAAGGACACUUCAUAUUCAUUAAAGGAAAAAUCCACCAAGAUGACAUCUCAGUUCUUAACAUUUAUUCCCCACACACAAGGGCACUCACAUUUGAAGAAGAAACAUUACUAGAGUUUAAGCCACAUGUGAAACUUCACAUGUUAAUUGUAAGAGACAUCCAUACACACUCUCACCAGUAGACAGGUCAUCCAUACAAAAACUGAACAGUGAAAUAUUGGAACUAACAGAUAUGAACCAAGUGGACAAAAUAGAUAUCUAUAGAACAUUUUACCCAAACACAAAAGAAUAAACCUUUUUUUUUUUUCUCAGCACCUUAGGUAACUUUCUCCAAAACUGACCACAUACUCAGACACAAAGCAAGUGUCAACAGAAACAAGACCCUAGGGAGGAGGCUUAAAUCUAAUUCAGAAUGGCGAACAGGAUAGAUGCCAGAAGUGGUGGAAGAAAGGGGACAGGAUGGGAGCCUACUAUAGAGGGUCCUCUGAAAGGCUCCACCCACCAGGGGAUCAAACCAGAUGCUGAGACUCACAGCUAAACUUUAAGCAAAGUGCAGGGAAUCUUAUCGAGGAAGAGGGGAUAGAAGGACACGGAGGGGACAGGAGGCCCACAAGGAGACCAACAAAGCUAAAAUACCGGAGCCCAGGGAGUCCUGCAGAGGCUGAUGCACCAACCAAAGACUAUGCAUAGAGAAGACUUAGAGCCCCUGCUCAGAUGUAGCUGAUUGGUAGCUCAGCCCCCAUGUGGGUGCCUGAGUAAGGGGAGCAGGAGCUGCCUCUGUCAUGAACUUGAUUGACUGCUCUUUAAUCACUUGCCUUGGGGAUGCAGCCUUUCCAGGCCACAGAGGAGGAGGAUCCAGGAAGUCCCAAUGAGACUUGAUAAGCUAGGGGUACAUCUGCUCAAAGGAGGAGAACUCCCCCUUACAGUGGACCAGGGGAAGGGGAUAGGGAAAAAGAGGGAGACAGGGCGGUACUGGAGGGAGUUGAGGGCUAUAUACUGAAUCCAGAUAUAUAAUGAAUAAAUUGUAAAAAAAAAUAAUGAAAUAACUCCUGCAUCCCAUACAAUAACCAUGAAUUAAAGCUGGAUAUUAACAACAACAUAAACAACAGAAAGCUUACAAUCUCAUGAAAACAAAACAACUCUCUACUGAAUAAAAAUUGGAUCAAGACAGAAAUAAAGAAGAAAAUUAAAGAUUUUCUAAAAUUCAGUGAAAAUGAAUACCAGCAUAUACAACCUUUUGGAGCACAAAGAAAACAAUGCUAACAGGAAAGUUCAUAACAUUAAGUGCCUACACAAAAGAAAAAAAAAUGGAAAUAUCUCAUACUAGCAACCUAACAGCAAACCUAAAAUGUCUAGAGCAAAAAGAAGUAAGCAUGCCUAAGGAGUAUACAGUAGGAAAUAAUCAAACUGAGAGCUGAAAUCAAUCAGAUGAAAACAGAGAACAAGACAAAGAAUCAAUGGAACAAAAAGUUGGUUCUUUGAGAAAAUCAACAACAUAGACAAACCUUUAUCCAAACUAACUAAAAGAUGCAGAGAGGAUAUCCAAAUUAACAAAAAAAAAUUAACAAAAGGUGGGCAUAACAACAGACAACAGAAGAACUCCAGAGGCUCAUAAGAACACAAUGUAAAGGACAAUAGGACCUACCUGUACUCCAUCCAAAUGGAUAAUCUAAAAGAAAUAGAUAAUUUUCUCAAUAGGUACCACUUACUAAAGUUAAAUCAAGUUCAGUUAACCAAUUUAAACAUACCUAUGAUUCCUAAUGAAAUAGAAGCAGUUGUCAAAAUCUCCCUACCAUAAAAAAGACCCAGGGCCAGACAUUUUUAGUGCAGAAUUCUACCAGACUUUCAAAGAAGAGUUAUUGAUGAUACUCCUCAAAUUAUUCCAAAAAUAGAAACAGAAAGAACAAUAUCUAGAUCAUUUUAUGAGGUCACCAUUAUCUUAAUACCCCACCCACAUAAAGAUUCAAUAAAGAUAAUUAUAGACCAAUUUCUCUUAUAAACAUAGAUGCAAAAAUCCUCAACAAAAUACUUGCAAACCUAAUCUAAGAACGCAUCAAAAAGAUCAUCUACCAUGGUCAAGUAGACUUCAUCCAAGAGAUGAAGGGAUGGUUCAGUAUAGACUAAAUUGGAAGUCUCCAUCAAGUCCUUUCCCUUAGAGUUUAGGGAAUCCUAUGGAAGAGAAAGCAUAAAAAAAAUUUAAGAAUCAGAGUGGAUGGAGGACACCAGGAAAGCACAAUCCUCCGAAUCAAUGAAACACAUGAGCUGAAGCAGCAAGCAUGGAGCCUACAUGGAUCUACACCAGGUUCUCUGCAAAUAUAUUAUAGCUACUAACGUAUUUUUUAUGGGACUCCUGACUGUGAGGGCAAGUGGGGUCUCUGACUCUUGCCUGCUCUUGAGACUCUUCUCCAAAGCUGGGUCCAGCUUUGAUAUGAAAGUUUUUCUUUCAUCUCAUUUUAUAUUAUUUUGUCAGGUUUGGUUGUUAUGCCUUAGAUGCCUGUUCUUUUCUACUGAGAGAGAAAGGGAGGGGAGGAGGGUGGGCAGGACCUUGCAGGAGUAGAAGGAGGGGAAACUAUAAUCAGGGUAUAUUGUAUGAGAAAAAAAGUCCAUUUUCAAUAAUAAAGAAAAAAAGAACUCAAUGGGAUCAUAGGUAUAUAUAAAUUGAUUAUCUGAACUUGA